rfam:Camelus ferus unplaced genomic scaffold scaffold98152, whole genome shotgun sequence.
GAGGAUAUAGCUGAGUGGUACAGUGUGUGCUUGGUGUGCAUGAGGUCCUGGGUUCAAUCCCCAGUGCCUCU